rnacentral:rRNA from 1 species
UACGUAGGGUCCGAGCGUUGUCCGGAAUUAUUGGGCGUAAAGCGCACGUAGGCGGCGCCGUAAGUCAGGGGUGAAAGUCCCGGAGCUCAACUCCGGAACUGCCCUUGAAACUGCAGUGCUAGAAUCUGAGAGGCGAGUGGAAUUCCGAGUGUAGAGGUGAAAUUCGUAGAUAUCGGAAGAACACCAGUGGCGAAGGCGACUCGCUGGACAAGUAGUGACGCUGAGGUGGCGAAAGCGU